AACGAACGCUGGCGGCAUGCCUAACACGUGCAAGUCGAACGAGACCUUCGGGUCUAGUGGCGCACGGGUGCGUAACGCGUGGGAACCUGCCUUUAGGUUCGGAAUAACUCAGAGAAAUUUGAGCUAAUACCGGAUGAUGUCUUCGGACCAAAGAUUUAUCGCCUUUAGAUGGGCCCGCGUUGGAUUAGCUAGUUGGUGGGGUAAAGGCCUACCAAGGCGACGAUCCAUAGCUGGUCUGAGAGGAUGAUCAGCCACACUGGGACUGAGACACGGCCCAGACUCCUACGGGAGGCAGCAGUGGGGAAUAUUGGACAAUGGGCGAAAGCCUGAUCCAGCAAUGCCGCGUGAGUGAUGAAGGCCUUAGGGUUGUAAAGCUCUUUUACCCGAGAUGAUAAUGACAGUAUCGGGAGAAUAAGCGCCGGCUAACUCCGUG
rnacentral:rRNA from 1 species